rnacentral:rRNA from 1 species
GACGAACGCUGGCGGCGUGCCUAAUACAUGCAAGUAGAACGCUGAAGGAGGAGCUUGCUUCUCUGGAUGAGUUGCGAACGGGUGAGUAACGCGUAGGUAACCUGCCUGGUAGCGGGGGAUAACUAUUGGAAACGAUAGCUAAUACCGCAUAAUAGUAGAUGUUGCAUGACAUUUGCUUAAAAGGUGCAAUUGCAUCACUACCAGAUGGACCUGCGUUGUAUUAGCUAGUUGGUGGGGUAACGGCUCACCAAGGCGACGAUACAUAGCCGACCUGAGAGGGUGAUCGGCCACACUGGGACUGAGACACGGCCCAGACUCCUACGGGAGGGAGCAGGAGGGAAUCUUCGGCAAUGGACGGAAGUCUGACCGAGCAACGCCGCGGGAGUGAAGAAGGGUUUCGGAUCGUAAAGCUCUGUUGUAAGAGAAGAAAGAGUGUGAGAGUGGAAAGUUCACACUGUGACGGUAUCUUACCAGAAAGGGACGGCUAACUACGUG